GAGUUUGAUUCUGGCUCAGGAUGAACGCUGGCGGCGUGCCUAACACAUGCAAGUCGAGCGCGGUUGUGCUUAGUAUUGAGUGUUUUAUUGAUAUAAAACAUUGAAUUCUAUGCACAACUGAGCGGCGGACGGGUGAGUAACGCGUGGGUAACCUGCCCUAUACACAUGGAUAACAUACUGAAAAGUUUACUAAUACAUGAUAAAAUAGUUUUUCGGCAUCGAAGAAUUAUCAAAGUGUUAGCGGUAUAGGAUGGACCCGCGUCUGAUUAGCUAGUUGGUGAGAUAACUGCCCACCAAGGCGACGAUCAGUAGCCGACCUGAGAGGGUGAUCGGCCACAUUGGAACUGAGACACGGUCCAAACUCCUACGGGAGGCAGCAGUGGGGAAUAUUGCACAAUGGGCGCAAGCCUGAUGCAGCAACGCCGCGUGAACGAUGAAGGUCUUCGGAUCGUAAAGUUCUGUUGCAGGGGAAGAUAAUGACG
rnacentral:rRNA from 1 species